UCUCCCGUGAGGGAGAAUCUGAAGGAAGUCUAAAGCAAAGUGCUGAACUGAUGCACAAGAACCAGCUAUAAGGCUGUGCGUCAUGGAUAAGGUUGCUAAACAAACCAAAGUCCGAUACCGCCCAAAAUGACGAGCAGUAGAGUUGGCAGUUACAUGGCACGAAGGUUAUCGCU
rfam:Sporolactobacillus inulinus CASD NODE_2, whole genome shotgun sequence.